rnacentral:rRNA from 1 species
AGUGAACGCUGGCGGCGUGCUUAACACAUGCAAGUCGAGCGAAGCCUUCGGGCUUAGCGGCGGACGGGUGAGUAACGCGUGGGAACGUGCCCUUUGGUACGGAAUAGCCCCGGGAAACUGGGAGUAAUACCGUAUGUGGUCGAGAGAUGAAAGAUUUAUCGCCAAAGGAUUGGCCCGCGUUGGAUUAGGUAGUUGGUGGGGUAAUGGCCUACCAAGCCGACGAUCCAGAGCUGGGUUGAGAGGAUGAUCAGCCACACUUGGACUGAGACGCGGCCCAGACGCGUACGGGAGGCGGCAGUGGGGAAUCUUAGACAAUGGGGGAAACCCUGAUCUAGCCAUGCCGCGUGAUCGAUGAAGGCCUUAGGGUUGUAAAGAUCUUUCAGUGGGGAAGAUAAUGACUGUACCCACAGAAGAAGCCCCGGCUAACUCCGUGCCAGCAGCCGCAGUAAAAC